rnacentral:rRNA from 1 species
GAUGAACGCUGGCGGCGUGCCUAAUACAUGCAAGUCGAGCGAACAGACGAGGAGCUUGCUCCUCUGACGUUAGCGGCGGACGGGUGAGUAACACGUGGAUAACCUACCUAUAAGACUGGGAUAACUUCGGGAAACCGGAGCUAAUACCGGAUAACAUGUUGAACCGCAUGGUUCAACAGUGAAAGACGGUCUUGCUGUCACUUAUAGAUGGUUCCGCGCCGCAUUAGCUAGUUGGUAAGGUAACGGCUUACCAAGGCAACGAUGCGUAGCCGACCUGAGAGGGUGAUCGGCCACACUGGAACUGAGACACGGUCCAGACUCCUACGGGAGGCAGCAGUAGGGAAUCUUCCGCAAUGGGCGAAAUCCUGACGGAGCAACGCCGCGUGAGUGAAGAAGGUCUUCGGAUCGUAAAACUCUGUUAUUAGGGAAGAACAAAUGUGUAAGUAACUAUGCACGUCUUGACGGUACCUAAUCAGAAAGCCACGGCUAACUACGUG